rnacentral:sRNA from 1 species
CCUGUGGAGCGUUACAUCAAACGCGAGUAGCCAUCGAGCUUGCUCGGGGGCAAAAACGGACGCAAUGAAACAGGAA